CCACAGAGGUGGAGUCUAUAGAGGUGUUAGGCCUUGCUGAGAUGCGGUGGGCUCCACCCAGUUUGAGCUUCCUGGCUGCUUUGUUUACCUACUCAAGCCUCAGCAAUCGCAGACGUCCCUUCCCCAGCCAGGCUGCCACCUCGCAGUUCAAUCUCAGACUGCUGUGCUAGCAGUGGGGAAGGCUCCGUGGGCAUGGAAACUGCCGAGCCAGGCACAGUAGAGAAUCACCUUGUCUGCCGGUUGCUAAGACCUUUGGAAAAGUGCAGUAUUUGGGUGAGAGUGUCCUAUUUUUCCAGGUACAGUCUGUCACGUCUUCCCUUGGCUAGGAAAGGGAAAUCCCCCGACCCCUUACACUUUCCGGGUGAGGCAACGCCCCACUCUGCUUCAGCUCACCCUCCAUGGGCUGCACUCACCUUCCAACCAGUCUCAAUGAGAUGAACCAGGUACCUCAGUUGGAAAUGCAGAAAUCACCCGUCUUCUGCGUCAAUCACGCUGAGAACUGCAGACCAGAGCUGUUCCUAUUUGGCCAUCUUGGAACCGGUCUGAGUCUGUUUUAGCCAGAUCAAGUACUUGCAGACACUUGAAGAAGCAUCUUUCUUGUGAUCUCCUGGCUGGUACCCUGAAGUCCUGUUAUGCCAAUGGACCAGCAACCCUCGCAGUUGUCUUCCAGAAGGCUCCCUUGAGGACUGGGACUCUUCCUGGAUGCACCCAAUUAAUCUAUUGAAACAAGGACUCGUGAUGGCAGCCCCUCACCUGACAAACUGGAUUUUCCCCAGAGAUCAUUUGUAAUGUUUUUCCUGAAUCUUAUUUGUGUUUCCCUAUUAGCAAUGUUAUGUAUUUCUAUAUCGCAAAUCCUAAGUGCCGCCUGUAGAACCUAACCUCCAUUUAUAGCAUGGAACACACAGCCCAUCACGUAUCCUUGCCCUGGCCUUCAGCCUCUGAAUAUUUUAAUAAAAAUCACUCUUUCCUCCUUAAGGACCAUGUUCUUUAAAAGCUUAACACAUAGUUCUUAAUAAUUGGUUGCUUUACUUGAUGUUUCUCUGUUUAUCUUGGCUGCCCAGAAGCUCAGACUUAAAUGUAAGAGUCUACUUACAGUAACAACCUUGUUGCGGAUACAAUUAAUUCUCC
rnacentral:lncRNA from 1 species